rnacentral:tRNA from 1 species
CAAGGGAUAAUUUAAAUAAAAUAUUAGCUUUGGAAGUUAAAUAUGGUAGAGUUAUCUUCCUUGA